GCUUUAGAAGUUCAUUUGAUGAUUGAGGGGACAGACCAUUGUUUUCUUCUUCAACAGCAUCAGCAGAUUGAGCAUGGAUCAUGCCAUUGUUUUCUUCUUCCUUAAUACUCUCGUUGGACAUCACGUUCACAGAGACUAAUGGAGCAGUGUCUACCGACAUCUCAGUUGAUUUGCAGGAUGCAGAUGAACUUAUUGUGCCUUUUCACACCAGUAGUAGAGCAAUUUGAGAAGUAGUGAAAGUGUGAAGUUAAGGAUAUACAACUACUCUACGAGAAUGUCAUCUACGGGUAUGUCCGUCAAUGUUUUCUUCCGCCUUUUAUUUUGAUCUCCCUUUUCGUUGUGUAUUAGUUUUCUCUAUCUUCAUUGAGUUCAGUAGAGAAUAUUAGCAAACCAUAGUUUUCAGAUCCACUUUGAGUAUUUGAUUGACAACAAACAUGUCAUGGCACCAAAUUUCUUUCACCAUAAGGCACUACCCUGGCCCUAUCACCUAUCUUGCAAGUUCUCAUAGAUUCUUGAGCUUUUUAUUGAAUAAUCAAAAGCAAAAUUAGGAAAAAUAAAAACAAAUAAAAGAUAUAUGAAGGGAAUAAACAACAUUUCAUACAAAAUUUGGGCAUGUUAACAGGCGCACCUGCAUCUCUAUAUAGUUCUUCAAUCGCCACAACCAACGUCUUUUUUCUCAUUCUAUCGCUAGUCAAGUACUUGUUGAAUUGUAUAAGCAUCAUUACUAGUUAAACAACAUAAAAUUUAUUAUUUAGCAAUCAUUUGGUGCAAGGUCACAAUAAAGUUGAAUUAAAGCGAGGAAAU